AUUGAACGCUGGCGGCAUGCCUUACACAUGCAAGUCGAACGGUAACGGGUCCUUCGGGAUGCCGACGAGUGGCGAACGGGUGAGUAAUAUAUCGGAACGUGCCCAGUAGUGGGGGAUAACUGCUCGAAAGAGCAGCUAAUACCGCAUACGACCUGAGGGUGAAAGGGGGGGAUCGCAAGACCUCUCGCUAUUGGAGCGGCCGAUAUCAGAUUAGCUAGUUGGUGGGGUAAAGGCCUACCAAGGCAACGAUCUGUAGUUGGUCUGAGAGGACGACCAGCCACACUGGGACUGAGACACGGCCCAGACUCCUACGGGAGGCAGCAGUGGGGAAUUUUGGACAAUGGGCGCAAGCCUGAUCCAGCAAUGCCGCGUGCAGGAAGAAGGCCUUCGGGUUGUAAACUGCUUUUGUCAGGGAAGAAAUCUUCUGGGUUAAUACCUCGGGAGGAUGACGGUACCUGAAGAAUAAGCACCGGCUAACUACGUGCCAGCAGCCGCAGUAACAC
rnacentral:rRNA from 1 species